rnacentral:rRNA from 1 species
UACGUAGGGGGCUAGCGUUGUCCGGAUUUAUUGGGCGUAAAGAGCGUGUAGGCGGCCAAGUAGGUCCGGUGUGAAAACUCGAGGCUUAACCUCGAGAUGUCAUCGGAAACCAUUUGGCUAGAGUCCGGAAGAGGAAAGUGGAAUUCCUGGUGUAGCGGUGAAAUGCGUAGAGAUCAGCAGGAACACCCGUGGCGAAGGCGGCCCCCUGGGCCGUACCUGACGCUGAGGCGGCGAAAAGCGUGGGGAGCAAACAGG